CAUGAGGCUCCUGAGCUGCAGGUUGCUGAGCUAGCCAACCUGUAGCAUUCCUGUGUAAAUGCAAAACUGUGCCUUUUAAAUCUGGUGUUAAAGCUUAAAAGUAAAGUCCGCGACUCACAUAGGGCUUUUCCACCGGGCAGGAGCUGGAGCUAAGUUGGAGCUAGCUCGUGUUUUGGCUCCGAGCCAUUCUGUUUCCACCAACAUGGCUCCAGCUCUCGGAGCCAAAAACCAGAGCUACUGGCUACAUUUAAAAGUGAGUCCAAGAAGACAGCAGUGGUCAGAGGAGGAGAACAUUGUUUCCUGGUAUUGUGGGUGUCUGAAGAGGUUCAGGGAAAGUGGACGGAGCCCCACGGACCAAACAGAACUACAACCACGGAGGAACUCGUCCUGUAGAACUCUUACUAAUCCUGGCCAUUUAGUGUGGGUUGAAAAAUAUCCAGCUAAAGUGAACUUUGAAGAAGACGUGUUUGAAACAAGAUGGCGAGCCGCUCUCGAACCAGCCUUCGAACCACGUGGACCUUCUGAACUGUGCAUCUGCUCGAGUGCUACGCCCUCUGCUGAUUGGUGCAUGGUUUUCAUCUGAACUGGAAAAAAGGAGGAAGAUGUUAAUGCAGAUUUUCUUUCAUGGAGCAGCCAGGGACACGGUUCAUGGACCAGAACCAGUACCAGGACUACGUCCAUGGUCCAUAACCUCCAGCUCAUGAUGAACUCCACAGCACUGGUUGGACUGGUGUUGGCUGGAGCAGAUAGAGGCAGGCUUUGGCCCUUUCUACUAGAAAACCCACAAUUAUUUUUUAAGUCAAUGUUAAUUUAUAUUGAGUUAGUUUGUACAUCUAUUUUUACUUUGUCUUACUUAUUUUGUAUUCUACAAGGACUUUGCUCAUUGUUUGUUGUCUUCUUGUAAGCACACACGUAUUUUAUUUUUAUUCAGAUAAUUGAAUUGCUCUUUUGCACUUUUUGUAAGAUAGAAACAUAACCUGCCCUGCUGUAGCACAUACUAUUAGGUUUGUAUUUUU
rnacentral:lncRNA from 1 species